CCUACGGGUGGCAGCAGUGAGGAAUAUUGGUCAAUGGGCGGAAGCCUGAACCAGCCAAGUAGCGUGCAGGAUGACGGUCCUAUGGAUUGUAAACCUCUUUUGUCGGGGAACAAAGGCGCCCACGGGUGUGCGGAUGAGUGUACCCGAAGAAAAAGCAUCGGCUAACUCCGUGCCAGCAGCCGCGGUAAUACGGGGGGUGCAAGCGUUGUCCGGAAUCAUUGGGCGUAAAGCGUUCGUAGGCGGCAAGGUAAGUCUGAUGUUAAAGCCCGGGGCUCAACCCCGGUUCGGCAUUGGAUACUAUCUAGCUAGAGAGUGGUAGAGGUAAAGGGAA
rnacentral:rRNA from 1 species